rnacentral:rRNA from 1 species
AUUGAACGCUAGCGGGAUGCUUUACACAUGCAAGUCGAACGGCAGCGCGGACUUCGGUCUGGCGGCGAGUGGCGAACGGGUGAGUAAUGUAUCGGAACGUGCCCAGUAGCGGGGGAUAACUACGCGAAAGCGUAGCUAAUACCGCAUACGCCCUACGGGGGAAAGCAAGGGAUCGUAAGACCUUGCACUAUUGGAGCGGCCGAUAUCGGGUUAGCUAGUUGGUGAGGUAACGGCGCACCAAGGCGACGAUCCGUAGCUGGUUUGAGAGGACGACCAGCCACCCUGGGACUGAGACACGGCCCAGACUCCUCCGGGAGGCAGCAGUGGGGAAUUUUGGACUAUGGGGGGAACCCUGAUCCGGCCCUCCCGCGUGUGCGAUGAAGGCCUUCGGGUUGUAGAGCACUUUUGGCAUGAAGGAAACGUCGCGUGCUAAUCCCCCGUGGAACUGACGGUACCUGCAGAAUAAGCACCGGCUAACUACGUG